rnacentral:ncRNA from 1 species
UUUAAAGAGAGUUUGAUCCUGGCUCAGGACGAACGCUGGCGGCGUGCCUAAUACAUGCAAGUCGAACGAAUGACCUUAGGAGCUUGCUCCUUUGGUCGUUAGUGGCGGACGGGUGAGUAACACGUGGGCAACCUGCCUGUAAGAUUGGGAUAACUCCGGGAAACCGGAGCUAAUACCGAAUAAUAAUUAGCUCCGCAUGGAGCGGGUUUGAAAGGCGGCUUCGGCUGUCACUUACAGAUGGGCCCGCGGUGCAUUAGCUAGUUGGUGGGGUAAAGGCCUACCAAGGCGACGAUGCAUAGCCGACCUGAGAGGGUGAUCGGCCACACUGGGACUGAGACACGGCCCAGACUCCUACGGGAGGCAGCAGUAGGGAAUCUUCCGCAAUGGACGAAAGUCUGACGGAGCAACGCCGCGUGUGUGAAGAAGGUUUUCGGAUCGUAAAGCACUGUUGUUAGAGAAGAACAAGGAUAAGAGUAACUGCUUGUCCCUUGACGGUAUCUAACCAGAAAGCCACGGCUAACUACGUGCCAGCAGCCGCGGUAAUACGUAGGUGGCAAGCGUUGUCCGGGAAUUAUUGGGCGUAAAGCGCGCGCAGGCCGGUUCUUAAGGCCGAAGGGGAAAGCCCCCGGCCUAACCG